UCUAGAUUCUGUUCAGUUUUGCAGAGAUGGGAAAUAAGCACUUCAUUUGUCAGAAGGGAAACUAUGAGGAACCUUCUCAUUGAGCUGCCUGACGCUCACUAUGAUAAAUGUUUCCUGCAGCCUUGGGAGAAGCUUCAGCCUCUUCAUCCUUCUGAGAUGCUUUGCAGAGGACCUCUUGCCUUGACAGUCACAUCCCCCUCAUCUUUUUGACUUGCAGCAGGAGUUAUCUGAGAGCUGUGCCAGCUUCAUGCUUCUUUAGCCAACAGCUGGGCAAAGGCACCUGAAGGUCUUCAGGCAGCACUGCAGUACAAAGGACAUGUACCUGCACUGAUGCUCCCCACUGGCCCUUUCCCAGUCUGCCUCUCACUGUUGCCUCUGCCAGCACUGCCAAAGCACAUCUGGAGGCAAUGUGCACAUCUGGACAUGCCAUGCCAGCAAGCAGGGAAAAUGGCAGGGCACCUCUUGGAGAGGGGGCUCUGCUCCCACCUCCCUCUCUGGAUGACUUAGAAUCAUAGAGCCAUUAAGGUUGGAAAAGACUCCUAAGAUCAUCCGGUCCAACCAUCAACCACUUGGAUUGAAUUACAUGAUGUCUUCCUGUGCCUCAGUUUCUCCACCUGUGAUAUAAAGAGGCUGAUGAAGAGUUUGAAAAUCCAUUCAUGGAAAACCAGAAAUGAAAACCCCGAGAGAUGUUAGCAUUAAAACAACAUUCGACAGCAUAUUAGGAGUUGUACUGUGAAGAGUCAUUCUGUGACAGCAGGGAAACAGCUGAGCAAUUUAACACCCACAGUUGUUGCCAUCCCUUGUUUCUAUCCACAGAUAUGCCUGGACUGAUAUUCCAGGUCAUUUCUCAUGUUGGCAACUUUCGUCUCUUUCCACUCAAGCAAGUCCUAUAAACUGUUUAUAUUAAAACAAUUAAAUUAUGUGCACAGCGUUUACAUAAACGCUGGCACCGUCAUUAAUGGCAACACUUAGGGAUGCGGAUGGUGUCUGUGUGUGCUCUGCAAUCCUUCAGGGAGAAGAAUUGAAUUUGCCAGCCAGUUUGGUUAAAAUAUUUAAAUGAGAGGUGGCUGCACUUUGAGAUGGAGGAAAUACUGCCAAGGAAUGCAACUGAAUAAUCAGAGCUCAUCGUGACACCUCUCAGUGGGCCGUUUAGUGUGCCCUGCACCCCCUUGGUACCCAGUGCUGCUCAGCCUCAGUAGUAUGGGUACAGCCUGGCUCACAGCUCGACACCGUGGGAAGGCAGAGCUGCCUCCCCACCCUGCAUUCACAUCCCUAAAUGCUCUGCUGGGAGAGACAAUGCAUGGCAAAUCCCCCUUUCUACCCUAUAUCCCUGCUGGGCUGCAUUGAUGCUCCUUGAGAACUGCCAUCAGGGCUGCUGGAGCAGGAACCUAUCUCCUCAUCCCACAGCAAUUCUAUUUUGUGUGUGCCCAUAUUAUUUGUACAGGUGAAGCCAUGUGGAGCACAGAACAGGCCAAAGCUAGUCUUUGCCUGCCUGUUUUCUCCACCAUGUUCCACCAUGGGAUCUGGUGCUGGAGGCUGCUCAUCAAGCCAUCUCGCGCUGAGCUGCCAGGAGAGGCAGGGAGCCAGGAAAAAGCAAACAGCCCUGGGAAAAAGAGACUUCACAGAAAGAGCCUGUGGUUUGUCAGAAGCAAGGCUGAACAACGUUUCCUUGUGGUCUGUAAUUACCAACAGAGGGAAGAGAUAGCUCAGACUUGGGGAUGCUUUCAUCCGGCAGACAAAAGCUGGAUGAAUCCAAUAGCUGGAGGCUGAAGUUAGCAAGAUUGAAAUGUAGGAUGCAAAUAUCUAAGACUGGAGGUAAUUAAUAAGUUCCCUGAUGUUUGCUGUGCCAAGUGGAUGGCAGUCAGAGCAGGCGAGCUGCCCAUGCUAGGGCCUGAUGCCUUUCCUCAAUCAGUGCUGUAUAGCACAUAGGCAGCAGUGUAGGGCUGAUCCCAAGUGAGCAGGACACACAUCUGGAGUGCCCAGAGCCCCAGGAAGCUGAGCUGUGGUUUGCCUGAAUGCAAGAAGACAAAUGAAUAUCCAAAACUGGAACAGGCUGCCCAGAGUUGUUGUGGAUGCCCCAUCCCCGGAGGUGCCCAAGGCCAGGCUUGCUGGGGCCCUAGGCAACCUGAUCUGACGGAGGGCAACAAGCCAUGGCAGAGGUUUGAGCUUGAUGGUCUUUAAGGUCCUUUCCAACUCACUCCAUUCUAUAAUUCUAUGAUAAACUGUCUGGUGUCCACCAUAUAGGAGGAGCCACUUAGUCUCAACCCAUUUUCUACUCACAGAAUGUCCCAUCCAUGGAUCGCAAGGGGAAUUAAAGACACUGGGGCCCCCCAGCCAUGUGAUGAGCAGUCU
ensembl:lncRNA